rnacentral:rRNA from 1 species
AGUUCGGAUUGUAGUCUGCAACCCGACUACAUGAAGCUGGAAUCGCUAGUAAUCGCGGAUCAGAAUGCCGCGGUGAAUACGUUCCCGGGUCUUGUACACACCGCCCGUCACACCAUGGGAGUCGGAAAUGCCCGAAGUCUGUGACCUAACCGUAAGGAAGGAGCAGCCGAAGGCAGGUCGGAUGACUGGGGUGAAGUCGUAACAAGGUAGC